ACCUAGGUGGCUCAGUCGGUUGAGCAUCCGACUUCAGCUCAGGUCAUGAUCUCACCGUUUGUGGGUUCAAGCCCCACAUGAGGCU
rnacentral:tRNA from 1 species